GUGCUUGCUUCAGUAGCACAUAUAUAAAAUUGGAACAAUACAGAGAAGAUUAGCACGGCCACUGUGCAAGGAUGACACACAAAUUGGUGAAGCAUUUCAUAUUUUA
rnacentral:snRNA from 1 species